UGCAGUCGAGCGGUAGAGAGAAGCUUGCUUCUCUUGAGAGCGGCGGACGGGUGAGUAAUGCCUAGGAAUCUGCCUGGUAGUGGGGGAUAACGUUCGGAAACGGACGCUAAUACCGCAUACGUCCUACGGGAGAAAGCAGGGGACCUUCGGGCCUUGCGCUAUCAGAUGAGCCUAGGUCGGAUUAGCUAGUUGGUGAGGUAAUGGCUCACCAAGGCGACGAUCCGUAACUGGUCUGAGAGGAUGAUCAGUCACACUGGAACUGAGACACGGUCCAGACUCCUACG
rnacentral:rRNA from 1 species